UGGCACCUUUGUCUGUUUGUCUGUUUCGGAUUUGUUUGUCACUUUUAAUUUGGCACGACGGCGUAGAAGAUCUUCCGCAUGUGCAGCAGCCCCCCUCUUAUAAAUGUUAGACAAAGGGACAAAGUUUUGUUUGAUUCCUUUUGUAUGUGCAGCCAACGGCGACGAGGCAGAAAAAUAAUUAUCAUUGAUACAAAAGCGCGGAAAAUACUUCGAUGCGUCGGCAGCAGUACCCGUAGUAGCAGCAACAUUUCCGAAUCAAAAAUCUAUUGCCCAGACACCCGGAACAGAUCCAUCAAUACGAGAGAGAGAGAGUGCAGCAAAUAAACAAAUUAUAUUAGUCAUCUAAUAAUAACCGCACACAAAAAUCUG
rnacentral:sRNA from 1 species